rnacentral:rRNA from 1 species
GACGAACCGUGCGAACGUUGUUCGGAAUCACUGGGAGUAAAGGGCGCGUAGGCGGCUUUAUAAGUCGGGGGUGAGAGCCUGUGGCUCAACCACAGAAUUGCCUUCGAUACUGUAGAGCUUGAGACCGGAAGAGGUAAGUGGAACUGCGAGUGUAGAGGUGAAAUUCGUAGAUAUUCGCAAGAACACCGGUGGCGAAGGCGACCUUCUGGGCCGCAACUGACGCUGAGGCACGAAAGCGUGGGGAGCAAACGGG